rnacentral:misc_RNA from 1 species
CCGAGUCAGGGUCUUUCAGGCCCGAAACUCCAACCCUAUGUUUAUCUACCAUGUUGCUUUGGCGGGCCCGUCUUAACUGACCGUGGGAGGCUUGUCCUUUCACCAGUGCCCGCCAGUAGCCCUCUCAAAUUCGUAUUAACAGUGAUGUCUAAGUUUACAUUUAAUAAUUA